UCGCACGGGACAACAUGAGUAGCAAUACAAGUGUUGUUGAGUGGCGCACGGGUGAGUAACACGUGAAUUACAUGCCCUUCAGAGGGGGAUAGCCCAGGGAAACUUGGAUUAAUACCCCAUGGUCUCGCAAGAGUAAAGGCGGCCGCAAGGCUGUCGCUGGAGGAUUGGUUCGCGCCCUAUCAGCUUGUUGGCGGGGUAACGGCCCACCAAGGCUACGACGGGUACCUGGUCUGAGAGGACGAUCAGGCACACUGGAACUGAGACACGGUCCAGACACCUACGGGUGGCAGCAGUCGAGAAUAAUUCACAAUGGGGGCAACCCUGAUGGUGCAACGCCGCGUGGAGGAUGACGGUCUUCGGAUUGUAAACUCCUGUCAUCCGGGAGUAAGACCCGGUCGUGAAUAACGGCCGGGGUUGAUAGUACCGGAAGAGGAAGGGACGGCUAACUUCGUGCCAGCAGCCGCGGUAAUACGAAGGUCCCGAGCGUUGUUCGGAAUCACUGGGCGUAAAGGGAGCGUAGGCGGCGCGGUAAGUCAGAUGUGAAAUCCCGGGGCUCAACCCCGGAACCGCAUCCGAUACUGCCGUGCUUAGAGGAUUGGAGAGGUAGCUGGAAUUCUUGGUGUAGCAGUGAAAUGCGUGGAUAUCAAGAGGAACACUCGUGGCGAAAGCGAGCUACUGGACAACUCCUGACGCUGAGGCUCGAAGGCCAGGGUAGCGAAAGGGAUUAGAUACCCCUGUAGUCCUGGCAGUAAACGGUGCACGCUUGGUGUGAGGGGAAUCGACCCCCCUCGUGCCGGAGCUAACGCGUUAAGCGUGCCGCCUGGGAAGUA
rnacentral:rRNA from 1 species